rnacentral:rRNA from 1 species
GAUGAACGCUGGCGGCGUGCCUAAUACAUGCAAGUCGAGCGAACAGACGAGGAGCUUGCUCCUCUGACGUUAGCGGCGGACGGGUGAGUAACACGUGGAUAACCUACCUAUAAGACUGGGAUAACUUCGGGAAACCGGAGCUAAUACCGGAUAAUAUAUUGAACCGCAUGGUUCAAUAGUGAAAGACGGUUUUGCUGUCACUUAUAGAUGGAUCCGCGCCGCAUUAGCUAGUUGGUAAGGUAACGGCUUACCAAGGCAACGAUGCGUAGCCGACCUGAGAGGGUGAUCGGCCACACUGGAACUGAGACCCGGUCCAGACUCCUACGGGAGGCAGCAGUAGGGAAUCUUCCGCAAAGGGCGAAAGCCUGACGGAGCAACGCCGCGUGAGUGAUGAAGGUCUUCGGAUCGUAAAACUCUUUUAUUAGGGAAGAACAAAUGUGUAAGUAACUAUGCACGUCUUGACGGUACCUAAUCAGAAAGCCACGGCUAACUACGUG